GAUGAACGCUGGCGGCGUGCCUAAUACAUGCAAGUCGAGCGAACAGACGAGGAGCUUGCUCCUCUGACGUUAGCGGCGGACGGGUGAGUAACACGUGGAUAACCUACCUAUAAGACUGGGAUAACUUCGGGAAACCGGAGCUAAUACCGGAUAAUAUAUUGAACCGCAUGGUUCCAUAGUGAAAGACGGUUUUGCUGUCACUUAUAGAUGGAUCCGCGCCGCAUUAGCUAGUUGGUAAGGUAACGGCUUACCAAGGCGACGAUGCGUAGCCGACCUGAGAGGGUGAUCGGCCACACUGGAACUGAGACACGGUCCAGACUCCUACGGGAGGCAGCAGUAGGGAAUCUUCCGCAAUGGGCGAAAGCUUGACGGAGCAACGCCGCGUGAGUGAUGAAGGUCUUCGGAUCGUAAAACUCUGUUAUUAGGGAAGAACAAAUGUGUAAGUAACUAUGCACGUCUUGACGGUACCUAAUCAGAAAGCCACGGCUAACUACGUG
rnacentral:rRNA from 1 species